AUCUGAUCCUACAAAGAAAAAAAUCACUCUUCUAUGAAAAUGCUAACAGUCACAAGUUGAAUAACUUCUCCCAUGACAAAAGAGUAAAAUUUGACACCCUAAAAACCAUUUAUUGGUAACAUCAGAAGCAAUUUUACCACAAAUGGAGGUGUAACAUAGUUGUUUAUUCACAAUGGGAUCAGCUCCUGAACACUCGGGUCCAGCCAAACCCACCUCCUCAAAGUGCCAGGGACAGGCUGCAUUGCAUUCCUAAGGGGAAGUGGGGGACCUGUCGCAAGAACACUUCUGCAGCCUGUGCACAUGGAGGCCCAGGGGGCAAGGAACCGAAGCCUCCUACCAAGAGCCAAACAGGAACUGGGGCCUCCUGCCAACAGCCAUGGGAGCGAGCUGCCUGCAGAGCAGCUCCUCCAGCCCCAGGCAAGCCUUCAGAUGAUUGCAGCCCCUACAAAAUCCUGACUGCAGCCACAACCAACUGGGUAAUGAGCCUACUCCACACCCUGACCCACAGAAACUGGGGGAUAAUAAAUGCUUAUUUGCUUUAAGCCACUAA